ACUGCUACAAGCCUGAACUAAGACCUUUGCCAGUACUUUUUACCUUAAGGGAUGGACAACAACAGGAAGUGUGUGCUGAUUACAAAUAAAAAUAAUUAUGCAAGA